rnacentral:misc_RNA from 1 species
AAGUUGCGUAACAAGGUUUCCAGUAGGUGAACCUGCGGAAGGAUCCAAUUGAAUGAAAUGCAAGGGGACGGCUCUUUUUAGAGGUCCGACCCAAACAUUUUCCUUUACACUGUGCACAUACACUUUUCUACACCAUUUUUUAUACGCAAUAGUCUAAGAAUGUAAAAUCAGUCUCGAAAGGCAAUAAAGUAAUAAAA